UGGGGAAUUUUGGACAAUGGGCGAAAGCCUGAUCCAGCAAUGCCGCGUGUGUGAAGAAGGCCUUCGGGUUGUAAAGCACUUUUGUCCGGAAAGAAAUCCUUGGCUCUAAUGCAGUCGGGGGAUGACGGUACCGGAAGAAUAAGCACCGGCUAACUACGUGCCAGCAGCCGCGGUAAUACGUAGGGUGCAAGCGUUAAUCGGAAUUACUGGGCGUAAAGCGUGCGCAGGCGGUUUGCUAAGACCGAUGUGAAAUCCCCGGGCUCAACCUGGGAACUGCAUUGGUGACUGGCAGGCUAGAGUAUGGCAGAGGGGGGUAGAAUUCCACGUGUAGCAGUGAAAUGCGUAGAGAUGUGGAGGAAUACCGAUGGCGAAGGCAGCCCCCUGGCAAGUACUGACGCUCAUGCACGAAAAGCGUGGGGAGCAAACNGGAUUAAUNCCCUGGUAGUCCACG
rnacentral:rRNA from 1 species